CGAAGAAAUCUGGACCGCCAAGCUGGCUUGGCUGUUGUCCUAGAGACAGAGCGACGACGGCAAAAUGAGCUAAAACGUAAACUUAAUGAGAAACCGAAGGAGGAGAAGAUCGAAAAAAAGGCAAAAAUUGUGAAAGAAGCAAAGGAAGAUGACAAAGCCUCUGGAGAACUAGAGGACCAACUCUCUGAGGGCAGGGAUUCCCCCGAGAAAGGUGACAGUAAAAGGAAUGCUAGCCUCAAACCACAAGUAAAAGAAGAAGUAAAGAAGGAAUCAUCAACAGCAUCUUUUGGAAAGUUCAGUUGGAAGAAGCCAGAAAAAGAAGAA
rnacentral:lncRNA from 1 species